rnacentral:lncRNA from 1 species
CCAGGAUGAGCGCCAUGAGGGCGAGGCCUGGGGUAGGGCCAGGAUAAGCCUCACUGGGGCAGGUCCUGGGUAGAGACCAGGUUGGCGGGUCUUGGGGCGGGGCCAGGAUAGGGCGAUCCUGGAAGCUGGGCUUCGGAAGCGUCCAGGUUGGUGGCGUCCUGGAGGCAGUGCCUUGCGUGGGGGCAGGAUAAGAGUCCUGGAGGCGGGCAUUAGGGCGGGGAUAAACGCCAUUGGGUUCAGGAGGCGGGACUCAGAGCAGAGCCCAGGAGACAGGUCUUAGGGCGGGGCUAAGGCCAGACCCAGAGAAGGGCUCAGGAGGCGGGGCAGGGGCGGGGCGUUGACUAUGUCUUGGCACAUGGCCAGGCGGUGCGCGGACUCUGGGAGGCGGAGCUUAGGACGGGCCCACGUGGGGAGGGGCCCAGGGUCCGGGAGGCGGUGCCGAGUCCCGGCUGGGCUGCGCUCAGGAGGCGGGCCCUGGGAGGCGGAGCUUAGGGAGGGGCCGGUGGCGGGAGGGACCCAGGGACUGGGAGGCUGGUCGGGGCUGGGCUCAGGGUCCGAGACCUAGCUGGGCUUGGGGCGGGGCCGAGACGGAGCGAGGGGUCCAGGGUGUGGGAAACGGGGAGGGGUUUGAGGAGAGGAUCGGAAUGUGGCUCAAGUUCGGGAGGCGUUACCUGCGGAGGGUUUGAGGCAGGCCCAGGAGCGAGCCCACGGUCUGCCUACGCGGGGCCAGGGGCGGGCCCCAGGAUCCGGAGCUUCGGGCGGGGCGGAGUCCGAGUUUGGGGCCCGGGAGGCGGGGCCAGUUAGGGUGAGGGUCCCUGGGAUCGACGGGUCAGGUCUUGGGCUAACGUAGGCACUCUCGCAGUUCCUCCGCCUUCAGGAAGGUCUUUUUAGCAGAGGCCUUACGGGUGCGCGCUUCGGUCCUGGAGGCCUUAUCCUAACCUCCUCUCCAUCAGCGCCACCCGUCUGGGGCCCGAAACGAGGGAGCUUUCCCUCUGUCCCCCAGCCUUUGGACUGUCACCAAACAAGCCAUUCGUUCAUCAAAAAUACUUAUUAAGCGCCUACCAUGUGCCUGACAAGGGAGAUGUAACGGUGAGAAAAAGUAGGUGUGGUCCAGGCCCUCCAGGGGCUCAGGGGCUCGUGGAAGAAGUGGACAUUGAAAUACUUAUCACACAAAUGAGGAUAAAAGUACGAUAGCGAUAUCUGCCACGAAGGUGAGCAGACAGAGCUAGCGGGGCUUGCAGGAGGAGUUUUGAUCUUGCAGGGACAGGAAGGAGGAGUUAGCUCCUGCGGGGUGGGAUUGGGGGUGGUGGUGAUAUAGACGUGGGGACAGAGUGGAAAACAACAAAAAUAUAAUUAUUUUAGUUCAAAGUUAUUGUGUCUUGAGUUGAAAGGCAGGGCAGUUAGCAACACAGUUCAGAUUUCAGUACUGCCCCUGAAAUCUGAACUGUGUUCAAAGUCUAAAACGUUUACCUUAGCAAAUUCCUCAUAAAACUCCAUUUGGAAGAGUCCCGAGAGCGAAUUUGUUAAGUACACUUGCAAAAGGUAGAUGAGGAGACAGAUAAAAUCUUAUUACCUCUUUCAGAUGAGAGCCACUUGAGCCCUGCUCAGCUAUGAGAAUAAGAGAGGGGAAUUAAUUCUAAUUGAAUACACUUGUUCUCUUAUAGCUGUUGUUCCACACCAGAACCAAAUGAGCGCAAGAUCUGACAAAGAAAAAAAAAGAUAGGGUCUCUCUCUCUGCCACCCAGGCCAGAGUGCAGUUGACGCAGGGCAGGGGAGCCCCGAAGUGGAGCAUAGCGUGUCCGGAACUGGUGGGUUCUUGGUCUCACUGACUUCAAGAAUGAAGCCGCGGACCCUCGCGG